UCGAGGCGGCCGAAGGCGUGACGACCGGCAUUUCGGCUGCCGAUCGCGCGCAUACGAUCCGCGUGGCCGUGCGUUCGGGCGCACGCCCCGAC
rnacentral:tRNA from 1 species